CUCCUGUUCUUCAGCGUCAGCGCUGCGGUAGCCUGCAGCUGCAGGAUAGGGUGCGCCAUCUCCCACCGACGCCUCCCCUUCCUCGGUUUUGUAGGGCAAGUAGUCUUAAUUCUGCUCGAAUGGAAUCCGCUUCCACCAUCGUGCCCACCAUUGUUGUGUAUGUGACAGUUCCAAACAGGGAAGCAGGUAACUGGUCCAUAACUUUCUGUGUUAUUAUUUCUUCCUUCGGCACCUUGAGUCCUUGCUAAUCAAUCUGGCAAUUCUCUCCGAUGAGAAAACAGACAGAUUAGUAACUUUCAGCUUGUGGGCAUCCAAAAUUUAUCCAUUUGAUUAGUGUUGUUCUUCUAAGGUUUUGCCUUUUUUGUUGUUAUUACUGUUGCGUAUUUUCUGUGUAUAUUUCUGGCUUUUGCUUUAGUUGCCAUAAGAUAACUUGCAUCACAUCUAUCAUAGGCAAGAAACUGUCACAGAGCAUCAUUAGCGAGAAGCUUCCUGCUUCUGUCAAUAUAUUACCUGGUGCAAUCUGAUGCUUAAGAAUUGCUCAUCAUCAAGACCAGGGAAUCACUUCUGGAUGCCUUGACUGCACAUGUCAAAGCCAGUCAUGAAUAUGAUGUUCCUGAAGUUAUUGCUCUGCCCAUAGCUGUUGGAGUUGCUCUAACACCAAGUAUUUGGAAUGGCUCAAGAACAGCACUAGGGACAACUGAUCUCUUUUAGUGCUCGAAAUAAUGCGACGAUCAAAGUGCCCAAGAAUAUGAAGUGACUCCUCAGCUCUUCCGGUGGCUUUGCACAAGGGAGUUUCCUCGCUUGAGGCCUCGUUUGAAUGUUGUCGGAUUCACCUCAAUCCACAUGUGUUGGAGUGGAUUGGGGUGAAAUUUAGUUCAAUUUCCACUACAACCCACCCCAACACAUGUGGAUUGAUGCGAAUCCGACUACAUCCAAACAAGGCCUACACAUGUGGAUUGAUGCGAAUCCGACUACAUCCAAACAAGGCCUGACCUGUAAUUUCACAGGAACAUUGCUGUACCAAAUCCAUAUUUACCGUCUUCUGGUGACUGGCGACAAAUGAUUUGGUGUCUCGUGUGGGUACCCAAAUGCAUGCAUUGCUCUGAGUAUUGACAGAUUGAUCCGUGUAAGUCCAAACAUGCAUAGUGUUGCUCUUGAUCGAUUUUUGGGCUUACGUUUCUGCUGAUAUUCCCGAACCUGACGUUGCGUCACCUGCUGUUGAAGUAUUGUUGUUAUCACGUGCACACCUGUUACGUGAUGAAUUUACCCGAUGAUUGAUAUUUUCA